rnacentral:rRNA from 1 species
AUUGAACGCUGGCGGCAUGCCUUACACAUGCAAGUCGAACGGCAGCACGGGAGCAAUCCUGGUGGCGAGUGGCGAACGGGUGAGUAAUAUAUCGGAACGUGCCCAGUAGUGGGGGAUAACUGCUCGAAAGAGCAGCUAAUACCGCAUACGACCUGAGGGUGAAAGGGGGGGAUCGCAAGACCUCUCGCUAUUUGAGCGGCCGAUAUCAGAUUAGCUAGUUGGUGGGGUAAAGGCCUACCAAGGCAACGAUCUGUAGUUGGUCUGAGAGGACGACCAGCCACACUGGGACUGAGACACGGCCCAGUCUCCUACGGGAGGCAGCAGUGGGGAAUUUUGGACAAUGGGCGCAAGCCUGAUCCAGCAAUGCCGCGUGCAGGAAGAAGGCCUUCGGGUUGUAAACUGCUUUUGUCAGGGAAGAAAUCCUCUAGGUUAAUACCCUUGGGGGGAUGACGGUACCUGAAGAAUAAGCACCGGCUAACUACGUGCCAGCCGCCGCCGUAAAAC